UGAUUUAGUGGUGGGUUGUUAGAGUUAGAGCAGUAUGGUUAGGUUGUGGUUGGACUUGAUGAUCUUGAAGGUCCUUUCCAACUUGAGCAAUUCUAUGAUUCUACGAUUCUAUUAAACCCUUGGACAUGGGCAGUGGGGGUUGCUGACAGCACAGCUCAGCUCUUGUAGUGCAGUCCUUGGUGAGGAAUGCGGCCGUACCCCUCACCUUACUGACUCACUUGCUACCAUCAUUUGAGGAACAUCGAAAAAUAUUCUUCUAAAAUGAUGUGUGAAAAGGCUUGAGGAAGUCCAUCUGGCACUUGUAUCAAAUGGGGCAACCUGAUUGUGUUCUGCUCACUUUUCUUUGGGGAGUGGCAGAGAGACAGCUUCCUCCCCCUACCCCCCAAAGGCAGUUCUAACUCUGCAGCCCUGUCUGAGUGGCUGCCCACAGGGCUCUGAUGGUGCAUUUCAUAGAACUGCUUGUGUUGGAAGGGACCUUAAAGACCUUUACUCCAGCAGGUCCACUCCAAAGCCUUAAAGCUCCUGUAAAAGAAGGAAGACCCAGGAGUAACUCACCAAACACGGCCGACAAGCACCAGCAGCCUUUAAGCGCAAUUAUCGCCGCAGCGCCUCACAUGGCGCUCAGCUGAGGCAAGGCUCAAGGCGGGAGACCCUUCCCUUCAGGAUGUUUCCCUGCGCGGCGGUGCUUCUGACGGUCGCCGGUGCGUGCGGGGCUGAGUGUGAGGCGGUGCUUUCGCGCUUCCCGCCCAGCCGGCGGCACGGGUCGGAGCUUGCUCUCAGGUGUUGGAUAUGUACCCUGCCUCAAAAGAUCUUUAGUGCUCUUCCAGUUCUGAUGGAUGUCAUCGUUUCUACCUGCGUUACUUAUGAA
rnacentral:lncRNA from 1 species